rnacentral:lncRNA from 1 species
AGACCCGGAAGCGGAUCGCGGGGAGUGAAGGCUGCGCCGCCGAGCCUGAGUUUCGCUCUCUCUAGAUUAAAUCUGCGCUUCGCAGUCCCCCUUCUUCCAUCCCCCGGGUCUGGAGGGGUCCCUACAGAUCUUAAAAUGACCACACCGCGCCCUCCACCCCAGAUUAACCUUUAAAGACUCAUGUGGCCUGAGGAAGAAGUCCAGAAGAGAAGAAAGAGGAGACAGGGAUGGCUCUUUCUCAAGGAAGGUUGACAUUCAGGGACGUGGCCAUCGAAUUCUCUC